rnacentral:rRNA from 1 species
AGGAUUAACGCUGGCGGCGUGCAUGAAACAUGCAAGUCGAGCGCGGUGUGAUGCGGGGUAACCCAAUUCACAUCUAGCGGCGAACGGGUGAGUAACACGUGAGCAACCUACCUUUGAGUUGGGGAUAGCCCUGGGAAACCAGGAUUAAUACCCGAUGUGGUCACAACAGGACAUCCUGAUGUGAGUAAAGGCGCAAGCCGCUCAAUGACGGGCUCGCGGCCUAUUAGCUUGUUGGUGGGGUAACGGCCUACCAAGGCGAUGAUGGGUAGCUGGUCUGAGAGGACGAUCAGCCACACUGGGACUGAGACACGGCCCAGACUCCUACGGGAGGCAGCAGUUAGGGAUUUUCCGCAAUGGGCGAAAGCCUGACGGAGCAACGCCGCGUGAGUGAUGAAGACCUUAGGGUUGUAAAGCUCUGUCGGAGGGAAGAACACAAUGACGGUACCCUCCAAGAAAGCCCGGCUAACUACGCGCCAGCAGCCGCGGUAAU